rnacentral:rRNA from 1 species
GACUAACGCUGGCGGUAUGCCUUAGACAUGCAAGUCGAACGAGUUUCCGGGCUUGCUCGGAAGCUAGUGGCGAACGGCUGAGUAACGCGUAGGUGACCUACCCCGUAGUGGGGAAUAACUGCCCGAAAGGGUAGCUAAUACCCCAUGUUGAGCCGGCUUCGGUGCCGUCUCCAAAGCAGCAAUGCGCUAUGGGCGGGGCCUGCGUUCGAUUAGCUAGUUGGUGAGGUAACGGCUCACCAAGGCGACGAUCGAUAGGUGGUCUGAGAGGACGAUCACCCAGACUGGGACUGAGACACGGCCCAGACUCCUACGGGAGGCAGCAGUCGGGAAUUUUGCGCAAUGGGGGAAACCCUGACGCAGCAAUACCGCGUGUGGGAUGAAGGCCUUCGGGUCGUAAACCACUUUUUUCGGGGACGAUAAUGACGGUACCCGAAGAAUAAGCCACGGCUAACUACGUG